AUCCUUUGGUAGUUCAUAAGUGUGAUGACUGGGUAUUCAUGCAUAUGUGUGAGAUAUGCCACCCUGGCAG
ensembl:snoRNA